ensembl:lncRNA
AUACAAUCCAUCACCUGUAUCAGGCAGACUUUGCACCCUGACUGGUCAGCUGGAACUUAAGGAAGACAAGAAGGACUGAAGUGAUUUCCUCUCCAUAACGUGAAAACGUUUCUGUCUUCGGUGUGCAAAUGGAGAUGCUGCUGUUGGAGUUUAGCCCACGGGAGUGUCAUACAGCUGCAAAGGAGAGGAUGGACUCAAAGCAUCACUGCGCAGUGCGACUGCUGAGCCCGUGGGGUGAAAGCAUGCUGGAUUGGAGAUGCUGGAAGAAAGCACAAGCAGUCCUUCAAGAUGAGGUAGGAGGGAUGGCAGUAACAGAAGAGCACAGCUGAAUCUCAAGAUCUCAAGCAAAGACAGCAGGAGUCUGAGCAUUUAAAUAUGCCUUCGCCAUGCUGGAGCAUUCCAAGCAGUGUGUUCUUCAAGUUUG